CUCUCAACAGCACAGCUACCACAUUUUAUUUUCCAAGACUCUCUCAACUUGACCAACUGAUACUUUUCCAAAGGUUUCUGUACCAGUGCAAUGAGCUUAUGAGGAUGUAGACUGGGACUCAAAGUUACCUCCUCGCCACAAACCACCCACAACUACUCUGGAGAAAAUGGCUGACCCUGUGAGUCCACGCUUUGUGUUACAGCAGACCUGAGCUGUGGCGGCCAUUGGAUCCCAUUGGAACAGACAUCAGUUACGUGCCACAUUUAAUGCAAGGAAAACAUUAGUAUGUAUGUGAUUCAGAUAUCCUUUUGUUUUCAUUUUAGAUUUAUUCAUUCUAAGAGUCUGAGCUUUCACUGUAUAUUUACAGAAUUAUAUCAGAUUGUGUAUUAAAACUUGUGUUGUUUCUGCCUAUUGUUUACAAUUAACAGCACCAGUCCAUGUCCAAAAUCAGGCCAAAUAACCAGAUGCAGAGAUCUUAGAGAUCUCUAGUAAACUAACAUUCUGUAUACAUUAUAAAUUACUCAAAUCAAAUCAAAUCAGUUGCAUACAUUCCAGUGUAUUGUUGCUGACAGUUAUUUUUCAGUACAUUUUUUAGGUUAUUAUUUGCAGGGGAAAUGUGCUUAAUUUGCAAUUAAAUAUUGUCACAAUAUGAAAAAGCUUAAAGGGUCCUAUUAUGCUUUUCCACUUUUUCAACUUUAGUUAGUCUGUAAUGUUGCUGUUUGCGCAUAAAAAAGAUCUGCAAAUUUACAAAUCUCAAAGUCCACUUCAAAAGGAGAUACUUUAUUUAACAGAAAUUACUUUUGUGAAAUCACAGAUACUGAUGAAUGGGACGAGACCUGGUUGAGCUGCACUAGAGAAGGCAAUGAGUGUUUGUGAAUGUAGCUUUCCCAAGGCAGACAAACUUAGAGUGGUUACUUACAAUCAUCUGGGUUUAAAUCACACUCAAAUUGAUUUGAUUUUGACGCAAUAUUUACACUGAAGCUCACAGGUGGCUAUUGUAAGGGGCGUGACAUUUCCCCACCAGGCGCCGUGUGGAGCCAAUCACAACACAGACUGGCCCAGGUAACCAAUCACAGCACAUUUCGUAUUUCAGAAGGCGGGCUUCAUUUGAUGCAGGAACUAUUCCAGCCAUUCAUGCCAGACUGAGAGAGAGGUGUUGUAAUAAUGUAAAAUAUGUGAAAAAUGAAGUGUUUUUCAAACAACCUAGUAUGAGAGUCUGUUCUACUACACCCACAAAACAAAAUCAAGACUUUGUAAAAGAGCAUAAUAGGACCCCUUUAAUAGUCCUAAAAAUAGCCAUUUAAAAA
ensembl:lncRNA